UACAGAGGAUGCAAGCGUUAUCCGGAAUGAUUGGGCGUAAAGCGUCCGCAGGUGGUUUUAUAAGUCUGCUGUUAAAGCGUGUGGCUCAACCACAUACAGGCAGUGGAAACUAUGAGACUAGGGUAUGUUAGGGGUAGAGGGAAUUCCCAGUGUAGCGGUGAAAUGCGUAGAGAUUGGGAAGAACACCGGUGGCGAAAGCGCUCUGCUAGGACAAUACUGACACUGAGGGACGAAAGCUAGGGGAGCGAAUGGG
rnacentral:rRNA from 1 species